CCUGGACCUCUUUCCAAUCAAACUUGUCUUGUAACCAGAGUUGAUGGGACUCCUCAGCCUAAAGGAUUAAUAUACUAACAAGGUCCUCUGGCUCUUGAAAACUCCGCUCAGACACCAACAUUUCAACUUGGUGAAACUCUAGACGAUCUAAUAUUGGCAUUAAUCACCUGUGAAAUCCUUCAUAUGUCCUUCAAAU
rnacentral:lncRNA from 1 species